UACAGAGGUCUCAAGCGUUGUUCGGAUUCAUUGGGCGUAAAGGGUGCGUAGGCGGCGCGGUAAGUCGGGUGUGAAAUCUCGGGGCUUAACUCCGAAACUGCAUUCGAUACUGCCGUGCUUGAGGACUGGAGAGGAGACUGGAAUUUACGGUGUAGCGGUGAAAUGCGUAGAUAUCCGGAGGAACACCGGUGGCGAAGGCGGCUUCCUGGACCGACACUGACGCUGAGGCGCGAAAGCUAGGGGAGCAAACGGG
rnacentral:rRNA from 1 species